ACCCAGGUGGCUCAGUGGUAAAGAAUCUGCCUGCUAAGCAGGAGACAUGGGUUGGAUCCCUGGGUG
rnacentral:tRNA from 1 species